CGGAAGUGUAAUAAUUUCAGGUGCUUGGGUAUUGUUACCAAUAUCUUCUCAGCUUUGAUCUUAUCUGCAUUGGCAUUAUUCUUAGGUUCUCUCUAAAUGGUGGUUCCCAGACAUUCAAGACUUCCUGUCUCAGGUCCAGGCUCAGAAGACACAAACAAACAAGAAACUACGUUUGGUUGUUCCAGCAUAAAACCUUGGGUUUGCAUUGGACAAGAUUGGCUUACUUUGGCCGUGAGGUCGAGGAUGGUGUUGUGUGGGGGGUAAGUCUGAAGCCAACAGCAAUUACAAGAAGAAGAGGAAGAAGAAGAAGGAAGAGGAGGAGGAGGAGGAGAAGAACAAGAAGAAGGAGGAGGAGGAGAAGGAGAAGGAGAAGAAUCGUUAAGUAGCAGCUUUAUACCCAGGCUUCUUGUUACAUAAUGGGGAGGUGAGUGGUUACCCUACAAUUUUAUAGGAGUUAAUGAACUAUUUGGGCUUACAUGCACUCUGUCUGGC
rnacentral:lncRNA from 10 species